rnacentral:rRNA from 1 species
UACAUGGGGUGCAAACGUUGCUCGGAAUUAUUGGGCGUAAAGCGCACGUAGGCGGUUCGUUAAGUCGGAUGUGAAAGCCCUCGGCUCAACUGAGGAAGUGCACCCGAAACUGGCGAGCUUGAGUACGAAAGAGGAUCGCGGAAUUCCCGGUGUAGAGGUGAAAUUCGUAGAUAUCGGGAGGAACACCGGUGGCGAAAGCGGCUCACUGGACCACAACUGACGCUGAGGCGCGAAAAGCUAGGGGAGCAAACAGGG